UGCGGAUGUGGUGGAGUGGAACCACGCGGGAGUCAUGAUCCCGAGACGCCGUUCGAGUCGGACAUCCGCAACCA
rnacentral:tRNA from 2 species